rnacentral:lncRNA from 1 species
AUUGAUGGACCAAAAUUGAUUCCUAAACUUAGUUUCAAACUCCUCUCAAUUACAAAAUUCACAUUGAAUUUCAUAGCUUUGAACUCGAUAUCGCUAUCAAAUGGCUGCCACAUCCCUCAAAUAAUUGGCUGCAUAUAUAAUUCCUUUGGUGGUAUUUUCCACAGAUAGUUGGAAGUAUUGUUGCAUAUUGAAGAGCCAUUGACAUACAUCUUCUUGCCUUGAAGUUUCAAAGUAUGUACUAGGUUUACUCAAUUUCAAUCUAGUAGAUGUCAACAGUCUUGUCCUCAAGGCUUCUAUUUGACCUUGCAAAGUAGUUAUCUAGCCUAAGAGGUGUUGUAUUUGAGCCUCCAUCUGGGUUUGCUCCGCUAUA